rnacentral:rRNA from 1 species
AUGGAGGGCUCUUCCACACAUGUUGCUCUCUUGCUGGCUCUCAUGGUAUGCUGUUCCAUGGCAUCCUCGGCGGCGGCAGCCCGAGCUUUUGUGGACGGAAACCGUGAAGGAGAACGUCCUCCCGCGCCUUGGGCCUCUGGCAGGAGGUCAGCGGAGUGUCCAGGAUGUGGAAGCACUUCGUCGCUGCCGGUGACAGCCAGACUUGCGCCACACCGAAAGAACCUGCAGGUUGCUGCGAACGUCGACUUCUAUGCAUGA